AUGUUCCAGAAGGAAGGGACCUGCACAGUCGCACUGCAGAGUGGUGACAGGAAGCCCAGCCCCCCUUGGUCCUGCCAGAACUCUGACCAGAGCAAGCUGAGUGCCCUGGGAAGAUCCUCUUCCCACAGAAGAGGAACGGAGGCCCUGGCCUCAGCCCAGCCCACAGCGAGCCAGGACCCAGUGGCCUGGGGCAUGGGUGGCAGGCUCGGAGACGGAGAGGCUCCAGGCAGAGACCCUCAUUCACGAUAAGGCGUUGAGCUUACUGCGUCAGCGCAUCCUUGCCCCCUGAGUCCUUUCAGGGGCGUCUCCUUAGCUGAGUUGUCCAGCGGGAGGCUGGCAGGG
rnacentral:lncRNA from 1 species